GAUGAACGCUAGCUACAGGCUUAACACAUGCAAGUCGAGGGGAAACGGCAUUGAGUGCUUGCACUCUUUGGACGUCGACCGGCGCACGGGUGAGUAACGCGUAUCCAACCUUCCCAUUACUGUGGGAUAACCUGCCGAAAGGCAGACUAAUACCGCAUAGUCUUCGAUGACGGCAUCAGAUUUGAAGUAAAGAUUUAUCGGUAAUGGAUGGGGAUGCGUCUGAUUAGCUUGUUGGCGGGGUAACGGCCCACCAAGGCAACGAUCAGUAGGGGUUCUGAGAGGAAGGUCCCCCACAUUGGAACUGAGACACGGUCCAAACUCCUACGGGAGGCAGCAGUGAGGAAUAUUGGUCAAUGGACGGAAGUCUGAACCAGCCAAGUAGCGUGCAGGAUGACGGCCCUAUGGGUUGUAAACUGCUUUUGUAUGGGGAUAAAGUUAGGGACGUGUCCCUAUUUGCAGGUACCAUACGAAUAAAGACCGGCUAAUUCCGUGCCAGCAGCCGCGGUAAUACGGAAGGUCCAGGCGUUAUCCGGAUUUAUUGGGUUUAAAGGGAGCGUAGGCUGGAGAUUAAGUGUGUUGUGAAAUGUAGACGCUCAACGUCUGAAUUGCAGCGCAUACUGGUUUCCUUGAGUACGCACAACGUUGGCGGAAUUCGUCGUGUAGCGGUGAAAUGCUUAGAUAUGACGAAGAACUCCGAUUGCGAAGGCAGCUGACGGGAGCGCAACUGACGCUUAAGCUCGAAGGUGCGGGUAUCAAACAGG
rnacentral:rRNA from 1 species